rnacentral:rRNA from 1 species
UACGGGUGAGGCAAGCGUUGUUCGGAAUUACUGGGCGUAAAGGGCUCGUAGGCGGCCAACUAAGUCGGAUGUGAAAUCCCCAGGCUCAACCUGGGAACUGCAUCCGAUACUGGAUGGCUUGAAUUCGGGAGAGGGAUGCAGAAUUCCAGGUGUAGCGGUGAAAUGCGUAGAUAUCUGGAGGAAUACCGGUGGCGAAGGCGGCAUCCUGGACCGACAUUGACGCUGAGGAGCGAAAGCCAGGGGAGCAAACGGG